UAACUUAAAACAAAUGCCUGUUAUUUUGAAUUUACACAAAAAAUAGAUCAACAUUAAAAUCUGUUUAUGUUAUAUUUAACACCCAAAAUCUGCCCAUUAGAUACUUGUUUUGAACUUUUUUAACAAACUACUAUUUUAACAGUCGCACAAAUACCAUCACAGAAAGAUUUGUUGUAGCUGGUAGCAAAAAAUACUCAUUCAGCAUUUAAAUCAAAGUCUAUGCUGCGAUAAGAUAAAUUGAAAGAUAAGUUUUGAAAGUUUUAAAGUUACAUUGCACAGCCAUCAGAAAAAUACUUCCACGUGAUACAAAAAAACCAUGUGUCAUGAUUAUAUUCUUCUGAAAGAAACAUUUACUAAACAAAAGCAAACAUAUAGGAAGAGUCAGAAAUUGCGAUCCUGGAGAUUAUCCCAUAGAUGUUCAGCAAGCUUUGGAAAGAUCUAUAGAGUUUUAUGAAGGCUGCUAAUGGCUAGAGAGUUUAAUGACUAGACUGCAUUUAGUAACCAUGGUAAUGCUCAUGUUUUUCUUUGAGAAUUUCAAAUAGCUGUACAAUAUUACUUGUGAGAAAAUUUCAAACAUAAAUUUUUAAUCAGAGGCAAGAUGGAAAGAAAUAGUUUAAUAUGUUUCUAUCUGCAAUCUGGGAAGAUUAUGCCAAUAGUUAUUUAUAUUAUUACAAAUUAACAAUAUUAACACAAAGACACAUUAUAACACUCAAUAUGGAAAACAUGCAAGUUUUUCAGGAUCUGCUGCAUAUUUUAUUGGAACACUAUUUAACAUUAAAGUAUGUAAGAAUCAGCUAAUUAAUAAUAAUGGCGAUGUUGUCAGCAUAUUUGUUGUAAAUCUAAAUGGAUUAUUAUGAUGGAAUAAUGAGGAAAUCUUACUAAAUGUUUCAACAAUUAUUAACUCAUUGGUGCCUGAAGAUUAAACCAUGGUUUUACGAAAAUACACAAAGUAUGGUGAAAUUACGUGAAGGAUGGCGAAAUAAGAAGAUUGCACCAUUUUGUGUUUAGUUUAAGUUUUCAUUCACUACAUGACACAUCUAUUAUAAACUGUUAAUAAUUUCUUAUAGCUAAAUAAUUAAAAAUAGUUAAAAUAACAUUAACUUUUCAGAAAGAAAUGGGUCCAAAAAAGAAUAAAAAUGCGCAUAUAAGUGAGAGUGUCAGACGACCAUUAUAUCUGUUAACAAUCCCAAUUUCACAGCUACCAAAUACACAGCUUCCAACCAAUGGUAGUAUUUUAAGAUAUUAUCAAUAUCUAAUUUCAAGUAAGAAGAAAAGAUUUAUCAAAACACAAAUUAACAUGGCCUGUAAGAAGCAAAAAGGAACAAGAAACUUGGUAUGCAAAGAGAUUUUUGUGACCUUGAGGCGCAAUCAAACUGCUUAAUUAGACAAAUAGUCAACAUUUGGACCAAAGCAGGAUUUGAAGCAUACAUCAUUACAGAAUAUUCAAUUCUUGACAAUUUCAAGCUCUACACAAGAAGUAUCAAUUUUUGAAAAAAUGUGUUACUCUGAAAGAUAUCAAAGAUACUAGAGAAGAUAUUAAGAAUGAAUUCAUUUCAACAAUGGAACAGUUGUUUGACAUAGGCAAAGAUAACUUAGAGCAACUGAUGAGAAGUGACAAAAUAACACCAAGAACACCAGCUGCUAUUGAAGAAGACAUUUUUUUUAUAGACCAGCAAAUAGACAGGAAGUGGUUUAUUUCUAAGUCAGAUGAAGGGCUAGCUACCAUUAUUGAGAAACCCCAUGAAAGGUAUAAGAGACAAGAACAAUUGAGAAUGAAGUACCUAGAGGAGAAACAAGCUGAAGAAAGAUGUAAAUCAGCUCCUCCACCACUUGAUGAAAUUGAUGAAGACUUGACGCCAACUAAGAAAAGAUACAAAUUUGGUCCAGCCAAUUUGGAUAUGGAUAUGUUUGAUCCAACUUUGACAGAUCAAGAAGACUCAUUAGAAGGUAGUGAUGAUGACUUUGAAUAUAGUGCUGCUCGAGUUAAAACCCCAAAAAUCUUACCUAAAGGCUCAAUGCAAGAUCACAAGAGAAGAACUGAUGGCAGUAACUACACCUAUUUGUGCUAGAGGGUUAAUCAGCAUUAAAAUACAAACCUGGCUGUUGUUGUCUGUUGUUAAUUACCUGGGAGAUGUUAAUCAGAUGGGCAUUUCUAAAUCCAGUAUUUCAAGAGAAAGUCAAAGGUUAUUUCAAUCAGAGAAAAUUAAAGAGAGAUAAUGGCUGGAAAACACCUUGUUCUCCACUGUGAUGGCAAGCUGUUAAAAUAUUUAGAUGAAAAUACCUUGCAAUCUGUCGUAAGAGAUAGUUGCUGUCAGUGUUACCAGCCCUGAUUUUGAAAAAUAAAAAUCUCUUACUUGGUGUUUUACCUGCAGAGUCUGACAAAGCUGUUGAUUAAAUAGAAAUUAUUCACAACUUACUUGAGUCCUUUGAAAUAUGCAAUGAAAUUUUCGCAAUUGUUGCAAAUACUACCAAUGGUUAUACAGGAGCUCAUGCAGGAAUUCUAACCAGAUUGUGCUAUAUUUUGGGAAAACCUGUUCUCUGGCUGUUAUGCAGACAUCACAUGUUUGAAAUAGCAAUACAUAGGGCAAUUGUAAUUGUCCUUGGAGUUACUGCUGCACCACAUCGACAGUUCUAAGAUUUCAAGAAGGACUGGGAAGUAUAUCACGCUAUAGCUCAAAAAGUUGACCUGUUUGAGUUUAAGAAAUUUGAUGAGAAGAAGCUGGAAGUUGAAUCUGAACUUCAUAAGCUUUACCUGGAUGCUCAGGAAUAUCUGAAGUUUGCUCUUAAUUACGAAGUGUUUCCAAGAGAUGAUUACAAUCAUCUAGUAAAGUAUGCUGCAUUUUAUUUAAAUGUCUUAUCACCAAAGCUGAAUGAUUUUGAAAUUCAUCAACCAGGAGCCAAUCACAAUGCUCAUUUUAUGGCUGACAGUCUUUACAAUUUAGCUUUUGUUAUGACAUCAGGCAGCUUCAUUUGAAAAUAGAUAGUGGUUGUUGAAGCAGUAUGAGAUUGAUGACACUAUCCAACUUUUGUGUGAUAUGCUUCAGUCAUCGAAUAUGACUUUGACACAUAAUGCAUCUUUUGCCAUAGCAAGACUGCCUACCCUAACUAAACCCUCAGUUGAUGCAGCCGCACUCUGUUGCAAGUCACGCAAUAAGAUAGUUGAUGUAGCAGCACUUCCUUGUAACAACAGACUAUAAGAUAGUCAAUGUAGCAACACUCCGCGCUUGUUUUACUGUUAAAAUAAAAAAUAAAAAUAAAAAUAUUCAGAAUGUUUUUAAAAACAUGUUUUACGAAUAUUAGAACAUCAAAGUAUGAAAAAGAUGCUGUUUGGUAUUGUUAGCUUUUUAAAGAAUACUCACAAUCAGAUCUUGCUUUGUUUUCACUGUUUUGCAUGGCUCAAGUGUUAUUGUGAAUGGAUAUUUUGCAAGUACUCAUUUGCAAUGUUUUACUCAAGUGAAGGUGCAAAAUGUUCUUUAAAUGAAGUAGUGUUUAAUGACACUCCAUAAUCAGAUUAUUUUACACCCUCACCUCCUCAAUUACAUGUUCAUGGUAAAACAGAGAUUUUUAUUGAGUGGGAUCCUCCUAAAAAUCUUCUUGGCAGAUUAAAUUAUUAUGAACUUAGAAUGGAUAACAUGGUAAUAUAUAGAGGAAUUGACUGCUGUUUUACUGCGCAAGCUCUUCAUCCAACUAAAGUUUAUAGCUUUACAGUUUCAGCUUGGAUGAGUGAGGGUAGAUGCAAAAGUUUACCCAGAACACGUCGAAUCAGCAAGCAAUAUGUAAUUAUAUCUGUAAGAAAUUCUUCCAGUUGUUAUUGGCCCUUGUGAAAAAUUACCAGAUGUAUUUACUUCUAUCUAAAAAUGUUGUUGAUUUUCCAGAAGAUAUUGGAAAGAUGUUGUAAGAGUAAAAAAAAAACACAGAUGAUCUUGGACGAAAUUGCACUGAUGAUCUUGGACUAGUCCACAGAUGUUUUUGGACAGAUGUAGUAAUCUUUUACCCAAAUUUCCAGAAUGCUUUCAGGAGAAAUAGAUGCCAGAGAGCUUAUGAUCUGUCACCAAUAGCUUACCAGUUUAUUCUUUAAUCUUGUGUGAUUUUUAAUUUUUAUGAUCAGGGUUGGGAUCAAAUAUGUAUUUUUUAUUUGAAGUUGUAUUUACAUUUGGUAGUUAUAAGGUAAAUUGGCGUAUUUGUAUUCGUGUUGCAUUUGAUUUAAAAAUUUCUUAA